CGUCCGUCUGCCUUGCCACCUGCGAACAUGCCCCCGCACGCGUGAUUAGGAAGGUUCAUCAAUCACGGCAUCUCUUUCCUAUGGUGCGGCAUCUCUUUCCGUCCUCUUCCUCCGCAUUCGCCCUCCAUCCGCUGGUGCCCGCCGCCGAACCCGGCCCUCCGUCUAUCACUCGCGUGUGGUGCCUUCGGUCCCCUUGCUCCACCGUGCACCCUCCCCCCCCCCCGCAGUCCUCGCCAUCGGCCUUGCUCCCCCACGAUUCGUACGUUGCCCAGCACUCUUGCACUUGCGAUGCACUCGCUAGCCCUCGCCUUCGGCCUCGUGCCGCCGCCAGCCAUCACCCUUGCCGUCGUGGUGAGGGUGGCGCACGCGUGGAGAAGCGUGAGGUCGGGUUCGAGGGAUCUGACGAUGACAGUGCAAGGACAAGGGCUGGCAACGCCGGCGCAAGGGUCGGGGCCUUCUACUCAGCACUUGUGCGAUUGCCAUACCGUACAACCUCCUCAUCGAUGUCCAACCUCGCCACAUGUGUCGAUCUCGAUCUGGAUCUUCGAUGGUCCAACCUGAACCUCACGUUGUACUGGAAUCUGGAAACGGAGGCGGCCAGUUGGUGGAGCACUUACCUUCCAAGCAUAUACAUACAAUUGACCAACACUGCACGGAAGUACACUUCAUCCUACCAUGGUGAAAACAUGUAGCUUUGCCACUGCUGGCCUCUCACCAUCGAUAUGCUUGGUCGCCGGCAUGGUAGUGAGGGUGCCACUCAUGGAUAAUAUCUGUGUUUUAAGCUUGAGAAUGUAUCUGAAACUAAUGCUACACAUGGCUACUUCUCUCAGUAAUCUUUAUUUGACUUUGUAUCAUCUUUAGGCUUGUGGCACCUCUAGCGGUAUUAUCAGUUUGGUGUAUUUUUCUCAUAUGAGUGCAUCUUUAAUUUGGGUUAUCAUAUUGUACAAACAUUUAUUGCUUGAUAGUAAGUGAGUAUUUUUCCCUCUAUCUCCA